UACGGGGGGGGGCAAGCGUUGUUCGGAAUUACUGGGCGUAAAGGGCGCGUAGGCGGCCUUCUAAGUCGGACGUGAAAUCCCUCGGCUUAACCGAGGAACUGCGUCCGAUACUGAAAGGCUUGAAUCCGGGAGAGGGAUGUGGAAUUCCAGGUGUAGCGGUGAAAUGCGUAGAUAUCUGGAGGAACACCGGUGGCGAAGGCGGCAUCCUGGACCGGCAUUGACGCUGAGGCGCGAAAAGCUAGGGGAGCCAAACGGGG
rnacentral:rRNA from 1 species